ensembl:snoRNA SNORA50A small nucleolar RNA, H/ACA box 50A
AAGCACUGCCUUUGAACCCAGAGUGACUUUUUGGUAGCCUUUUGGGUUAAGCAGCAGUGCUAGAUUAUAAGGACUUGUUAUAACUGGGGCUUUUCAGUUGCUGACUGAAAGGCUCUUUUAAAAAUAAGGCACAUUU